rnacentral:lncRNA from 10 species
CUGAUGUAGACUAUUUUGCCAAUUGUCCUAAUCAUGCCCUUUACAGCAAAAGGAACAUUGUUUUGGAUUCUCUCUUGACACACAGGCAAGGGUGGGCUAGAGCCAUGGCCAGCAGCCAGGAGGCUGGGUAGCCUCGGUCUUCCUCCCCGUGGUGGAGUCCAGUGGAGGCUCUACACCGCACCCUGGGCGAGAGAGAAAAGCCUGCCUGGUCCCGCCGGCGGCUGCCCAGGAGGAAAGUAGCCUUCAUCCCCUGCUUUCCACUCGGCACCUUCUCUGCUUCCAGACAUCUGCCCCCAUCUCCACGGUGCCUGCUGGGCACUACCCCUAGACAUAGGAGGCAUGUAGGGCCACAUUGGGAAGCACUGGGGUCAGUCAGGAGGUGGAGGUUGGGGGGGAGUUGUCUGGGGUGGUCAAGGGAAAGGAAAUUGUGACAUAGAGCCUUUAUUGCAUUAUUACAUGAAGGAAUGGGUGACACAGGGUAGGUAUUCUGAGUAAGCUUAGAAUUGUAUAGUUUGAGUAAUUUCAGCGGACUCUGGGCUGGAGGAGUGGAAUUAGCUAGUCCUGUGAGGGCAGUCUCUCAAGGAUCAAGGCCCCAGAUGCCAGAGCAUCAAGAAUAUGGAAAAUCAGAGAACAUGAUCAAUAUACCAGCUCAUCCCUGGAUGAAGCUCCCUGCCUUUCCUCAUACAGACAAAAAAGUGCAAUCCUCAAUUUUCCGGCCUACCUUGUAGCUGGGAGCUAUAAAAUGAAGUUCAUCAGGCAUGAGCGGUCUGCUGGUACUGCUUCUUCCCGCUUCCCCUUCUUCUUGCUUUGGGAUGGGAUGCGAUGUUUGCUGCUGUAACAGCCAUUUGCAGCCAUAAGGAAAAGGCCAAAUGAAUUGCAGUGGUGUCCAUUGAACCAAUUCUGUAUUUUUCUGGACUUCUUGUUUUGUGAGAAAAAUAAACUGCUA